UGUAUAAUUGACGUUGCUACUAU
rnacentral:sRNA from 1 species